rnacentral:rRNA from 1 species
UACGUAGGGGGCGAGCGUUGUCCGGAUUUAUUGGGCGUAAAGAGCUCGUAGGCCGUUCGGUAAGUCAGAUGUGAAAACUCCAGGCUCAACUUGGAGAGGCCAUCUGAUACUGCCGUGACUUGAGUCCGGUAGGGGAGCACGGAAUUCCUGGUGUAGCGGUGAAAUGCGUAGAGAUCAGGAAGAACACCGGUGGCGAAGGCGCUCUGCUAGGCCGCAACUGACACUGAGGGACGAAAGCUAGGGGAGCGAAUGGG